UCGGAUGUAGUGCACGGUGCACGCCUGCUGUCAGUAGGAGGAAAGUAUGUCUAGCGGUUCGCAGUGGGAAGCCUGGGUUCGACUCCCAGCAUCCGAA